rnacentral:sRNA from 1 species
GGCUCAGGUGAUGGGAGAGAGGCCUGCACCCCAACAGAGGGCUCAGCCCCUGCCCCAGCACCUCAGGGGCAGCCGAGAUGGUCACAUGUAGGCUUGCAGCCAGGGCUUUGCGGUUCCAAUGUCUAACUGGAGGGCCACGGGGGUGGUGGCAGACUCGCCUCUGGGCGGGGAGGGGCACGGACUAGGCUGGUGGAGUGUGCCCCUGUUCACCCCGCUUGGCCUCCCAGCAGCAGUGGACACGCAUGUGCACAGAAUCGCCAACAGGCUGAGGUGGACCAAGAAGGCAACCAAGUCCCCAGAGGAGACCCGCGCCGCCCUGGAGGAGUGGCUGCCUAGGGAGCUGUGGCACGAGAUCAAUGGACUCUUGGUGGGCUUCGGCCAGCAGACCUGUCUGCCCGUGCGCCCUCGCUGCCACACCUGCCUCAACCAAGCCCUCUGCCCGGCCGCCCAGGGUCUCUGAUGGCCGCGUGGCUCUGGCCGAGGUGCCGCUGUGGCCACCGUCUGUGAAGCGGCUUUACGCUUCAGGAAGCCACGCCUGUUGAAUAAAGCUUUGGUGUGUUUGCA